GAGGCAUUCCUUUCCCUGGCUGAUGCAGGAAGCUUUUUAUAGUCUUCAACAACAACCAGUCCCUACAUUUAAGAAGGUUAAUAACUGAGACAGCCUUCCUGGUGGAUCCAUCAUUUGGCCCAGCUUGUAGAAAGAUUCCCAACUAGCUCUAAUUAGUUCCAUCUUAUUUGGAGGCAGAGGUAUUCCUCAUCAUACCCAUAUCCUCAUAUAAAUUGUCCAGUGCCCUAGGUACCAGGGAGAAAGAAGACGAAGAAGGACAUAUACCAGAAGCACAUUAAUAGGCUGCUGAAAAACUCUGCCACACUUUCAGAUGACAGGUCACCUACAGAUAAAUGAUUCAAGGAUCAACCAAGUUCUGAAGUUUUUUUUUGUUUUUUUUUUUUGGGAUAGAGUCUCACUGUGUCACCCAGGCUGGAGUGCAGUGGCGUGAUCUCAGCUCACUGCAACCUCUGCCUCCCGAGUUCAAGUGAUUCUCCUGCCUCAGCCUCCCAAGUAGCUGGGAUUAUAGGUGCCUGCCACCAGGCCUGGCUAAUUAUUUUUUGUAUUUUUAGUAGAAACAUAGUUUCACUAUGUUGGCCAGGCUGGUCUUGAACUCCUGACCUUGUGAUCCACCCGCCUCAGCCUCCCAAAGUGCUGGGAUACAGGUGUGAGCCACCAUGCCCGGCCAGUUCUUAAUACUGCCAGGAGUGCUUUAGAAGGCUGGGAAUAUGGGGCGAAAGAUUAGACACCCAAGCUGUUGAAAACCACACAGAGUUUCAGUAAAUAUAUGCACAAUUUGAAAAAUAUAUUUGCAAAAAUCUAGGUGUCUCCGGUCUAGUCCUUCCUAUUAAUCAAAUAAAUUACCGAGCUUCAUGGCCCAGUCUAUGAUCCUAGUUCUGACCGCUGCUGCCCGUAAAGGCCUCAAUGAAUUCCUCUCUGAGCUUCCAGACUUCCUUGGCUGGUGACUUGUUCCUCUUGGGACAGCUUUUGCUUGAGCUGAGCAGCCUGGCCCCCAGCUGUGCAGGGCCCUCUCUCCGGUGAGAGGAAACGCUUUCAGCUUAGUCUGUUAACACAAACAUUCAAAAGCAAACAUUCAAAAGCCACAGAUCAUGUUCGCAUAAAUAAAAUAGGAUUGAGAAAAGCUUUGCCCCAAGAAACCAAAGGGGUGUUUAAAAAACAGCUCUUGCUUUCCAAGUAGGCAGGCAGCAAAGCCACAGCAAUUCCAAAGGUUUGUGUGCUUGGUAGAGCUGGGUGGCUGCAGCCGCAGGCCUUUGAAGAGGAAAUGCCAUCCCUGGUACAGGCAGGCGGCCAACCCAUGAGUCCUGAAAGUACCAGAGAGAAGCAGAAAGCAGGGGAGCACAGUUAGGAAGUGAAAAGGGAGAGGAAGGCACCAAGGAGAUAAAUGAGGAGACUCUUCUUAUCUAGAGUUCCCACCCCAGACCUAAGAGCUACAGGACAGAGGAACUCACUGUGCCUGACAGAGCUGGGGCCUGUCUACAGAUCCUGUGGUUCUGCAGAUUUCAAUUAUAGAAGACAGGACUUUGGAAAACAUGAAAAGACCACUUAAAAGAGAUGCAGAAAAAGCAUGUGACAGGCUGGAGCCAAGAUGGCCGAAU
rnacentral:lncRNA from 1 species